AGGAUGAACGCUGGCGGCGUGCUUAAUACAUGCAAGUCGAACGCACCUUCGGGUGAGUGGCGGACGGGUGAGUAACACGUGGGAACGUGCCUUUUGGUUCGGAAUAAUCCGGGGAAACCUGGCCUAAUACCGGAUGUGCCCUUCGGGGGAAAGAUUUAUCGCCAUUAGAGCGGCCCGCGUCUGAUUAGCUUGUUGGUGGGGUAAUGGCCCACCAAGGCUACGAUCAGUAGCUGGUCUGAGAGGAUGAUCAGCCACACUGGGACUGAGACACGGCCCAGACUCCUACGGGAGGCAGCAGUAGGGAAUCUUGCGCAAUGGGCGAAAGCCUGACGCAGCCAUGCCGCGUGAAUGAUGAAGGUCUUAGGAUUGUAAAGUCCUUUUAACGGGGAAGAUAAUGACGGUACCCGUAGAAUAAGCCCCGGCUAACUUCGUGCCAGCAGCCGC
rnacentral:rRNA from 1 species